AAAUUGAAGAGUUUGAUCAUGGCUCAGAUUGAACGCUGGCGGCAGGCCUAACACAUGCAAGUCGAACGGUAACAGGAAAC
rnacentral:rRNA from 2 species